rnacentral:rRNA from 1 species
ACGUUGACCUCGGAUCAGGUAGGAAUACCCGCUGAACUUAAGCAUAUCAA